ACGCUCGACACCUACGGCAGGCAGCAGUGGGGAAUAUUGCACAAUGGGGGAAACCCUGAUGCAGCGACGCCGCGUGAAGGAAGAAGUAUUUCGGUAUGUAAACUUCUAUCAGCAGGGAAGAAGAAAGUGACGGUACCUGACUAAGAAGCCCCGGCUAACUACGUGUCAGCAGCCGCGGUAAUCUGAGCGGGCUGGCAAGGC
rnacentral:rRNA from 1 species